UGGCACGGCGUAAAAUCUAAAAGAGACGGGUGAGUAAUGCCUGGGAAAUUUUUCCAGUCGAGGGGGAUAACAGUUGGAAACGACUGCUAAUACCGCAUACGCCCUACGGGGGAAAGCAGGGGACCUUCGGGCCUUGCGCGAUUGGAUAUGCCCAGGUGGGAUUAGCUAGUUGGUGAGGUAAUGGCUCACCAAGGCGACGAUCCCUAGUUGGUCUGAGAGGAUGAUCAGCCACACUGGAACUGAAACACGGUCCAGACUCCUACGGGAGGCAGCAGUGGG
rnacentral:rRNA from 1 species